CAGUCGCCGCGGUAAUACGUAGGUGGCAAGCGUUGUCCGGAAUUAUUGGGCGUAAAGGGAGUGUAGGCGGUCUUUUAAGUCUGAUGUGAAAGCCCCCGGCUCAACCGGGGAGGGUCAUUGGAAACUGGGAAACUUGAGUGCAGAAGAGGAGAGUGGAAUUCCACGUGUAGCGGUGAAAUGCGUAGAGAUGUGGAGGAACACCAGUGGCGAAGGCGACUCUCUGGUCUGUAACUGACGCUGAGGAGCGAAAGCGUGGGGAGCGAACAGGAUUAGAUACCCGCGUAGUCCCUGUCUCUUAUAC
rnacentral:rRNA from 1 species